UGGGACACACCCGUUCCCAUACCGAACACGAUGGUUAAGACAUAAACGGCUGAUGAUACUUGGUGGGUGACUGCCUGGGAAAGUAAGUGGUUGCCA
rnacentral:rRNA from 1 species